rnacentral:tRNA from 10 species
GGGGGUAUAGCUCAGGGGUAGAGCAUUUGACUGCAGAUCAAGAGGUCCCUGGUUCAAAUCCAGGUGCCCCCU